CUGCAGGUUAUGUUACAACAGAGCCUGAUAAUGCUCUGCUGUCGUUCCCCCUGCACAUAUUAACUCGUUUCUUUCUAUCCCUGUCUGUUUCUUCUCUAGAGCUUACAGGGACGCUUGGUUUCGUACAA